rnacentral:rRNA from 1 species
UGCUAUACAUGCAAGUCGAACGCUUCUUUUUCCACCGGAGCUUGCUCCACCGGAAAAAGAGGAGUGGCGAACGGGUGAGUAACACGUGGGUAACCUGCCCAUCAGAAGGGGAUAACACUUGGAAACAGGUGCUAAUACCGUAUAACAAUCAAAACCGCAUGGUUUUGAUUUGAAAGGCGCUUUCGGGUGUCGCUGAUGGAUGGACCCGCGGUGCAUUAGCUAGUUGGUGAGGUAACGGCUCACCAAGGCCACGAUGCAUAGCCGACCUGAGAGGGUGAUCGGCCACAUUGGGACUGAGACACGGCCCAAACUCCUACGGGAGGCAGCAGUAGGGAAUCUUCGGCAAUGGACGAAAGUCUGACCGAGCAACGCCGCGUGAGUGAAGAAGGUUUUCGGAUCGUAAAACUCUGUUGUUAGAGAAGAACAAGGAUGAGAGUAACUGUUCAUCCCUUGACGGUAUCUAACCAGAAAGCCACGGCUAACUACGUGCCAGCAGCCGCGGUAAAAAAAA